GAGGUCCUUCAUCCCAUUCUUGGGGGAGGCACUCAUGGCCUAACAACCUCCUAAAGAACCUACUAUUUUGUGUAAUACCAUCAUAUCGGCUGCUGUUAACUAUCAGUACCUGAAUUUUGGAGGGAACACAUUCAAACUAUAGCAUUUAUUUAGGCUAAAAAGAUAGUUCAUUGUCAGUGUAUGAAAAACCUACUGAUUUUUUACGUUGAUUUUAUAUACUGCAACUUUAUUGAAUUCUCAACAAAUGGUGUUGAAAAAACUGGAUGUCCUCAUGAAGAAGAAUGAAAUUGAACACAUCACAUCCCAUAUACAAGAAUCAACUCAAAGUGGGUUGAAGACUUAAAUAUAAGAUCUGAAACUAUAAAACUAUUAGAAAUAAAAAACGUAAGAGGAAAGCUCCACACACUGAUCUGGACAAAGAUUUUUUUGACCAUGACCCUAAAAGCACAGGCAACAAAAACAAAAAGAGACCAUUAAUCUAUUAGUUAUUGUAUUGCAUCAAACUAAAAAGCUUACGCACAGCAAAGGAAACAAUUUACAAAAUAAAGAGACAACCCAUAGGUUAAGAGAAAAAUAUGUGCAAAUAAUACAUCUGUUAAGGGGCUCUAAUAUCCAAAAUACAGAGAGAAAUUAAACAACUCAAUAAUAAGAAAACAAGUGAUUACAUUAAAAAUAGUCAAAUGACUUGAACAGAUAUUUCUCAAAAGAAGACACAUAAAUGGCCAGUGGGUUAUUAAUAACAAAGCCCAAUAUCCCUAUCACUAAUCAUUGGGGAAAUGCAAAUUGAAACCACAAUUAAAUAUCACCUCAGAUCUGUCAGAAUGGCUAUUAUCAAAAAGAUGAAAUUUAAAUGUUGG
ensembl:lncRNA CASC19 cancer susceptibility 19